AUCACAGGGCCUAUUCACAACCACCACAAUACAUCCCAAUCAUCUUUCGGGUUAUCGUAUAUCCAUAUGGUCAGUUGUUUAUAUUUUUAUGUCCUACGGUGAAAGUCUUUUCUUUGAGAUGUAACAAAAAUAGGGCAGUUUGCGCUCUCACACACACACACACACACACACACACACACACACACACACACACACACACACACACACACACAGGUUGUGUUGAUUCAUCUGCAUCCAUGUCUCCCUCAAUUGAAACGCAUGACCCCUUUGAUUGCCAUCCUCACAAUUACCCCCUUCUCCCCAAGCACAGCCUUGGCAGAGCCAAAUGUGACUGCUGUACAUCGAGUAUAUGAACUCAAUUAUGUUAUAGGUAUAUAUAUAUAUAUUUUUGAAAUCCUCCCAACUCCCCAUUUCUAACAGUGAGAAGAUUGCUUUCCAAUACAAUGCAUUCAAUUAUGUAGCCGGCAUAACUAUUACGGUGUGACCAUCACAUUCACAUACAAAUAAGCUUCCUGGCAGAUAUUUGGAUGAUGUCUACCUCUUACCUCUUGCCUCAAGGCAAGAGAAAAAUAGUAUAACUCUGAAAACCUUUGGCACUCCGAGCAGGCAAAUCAAAAUAGAGCCAGUCAAAAAACCAAGGUCAAGAAAGUAGAUGUGUGGGACGAGGCAAGGACGCAAUCACAAAUGAUUAGCCUGUCUGCAUCUUAAAAGGGCACCUUGCAUACAGUAUGUCCUUCUGAAACCAAGAGCAAGGCUUUUGUUGGCGGCCUUAAGCCUUUUAGAUUACACCUUUUUUGUUCAAAAAGGUACAGAUUCAGAUAUGAUUCAAUUAGAUAUUCUUUAUGCAAGAAAAAUGGCAAAAUGUAACAUUCAUUUAUUCAGACUAGACAUUGACUUUUUCCACACUCUUUUUUACAGCCUGAAUUUAAAAUGGAUUCAAUUGAGAUUGUUUAUCACUGGCCCACACACAAUACCCCAUAAUGUCAAAGUGGAAUUGUAUUUUUAGACAUUUUUACAAAUGAAUUCAAAAUGAAAAGCUGAAAUGUCCUGAGUCAAUAUGUAUUCCUCCCCUUUGUUAUGGCAAGCCUAAAUAAGUUCAGGAGUACAAAUUUGCUGAACAAGUCACAUAAUAAGUUGCAUGGACUCACCCUGACCUUAGAGAUCCUUUUAAUUCUCUAUUUGGUUAGGUCAGGGGGUGACGAGGGUGGGAAAUCUAUGUUUUCUAUUUCUUUGUUGGCCUGGUAUGGUUCCCAAUCAGAGGCAGCUGUCUAUCGUUGUCUCUGAUUGGGGAUCAUAUUUAGGCAGCCUUUUCCACCUGUUGUUUGUGGGAUCUUGUUUUUGUGUAGCUGCCUGUGAGCAGCCCAGAACGACACAUUUCGUUUUCGGUGAACGUGUACCUUCAGGCAUUUGGAAAUUGCUCCCAAGGAUGAACCAGACUUGUGGAGGUCUGCAAAUAAUUUUUCUGAGGUCUUGGCUGAUUUCUUUAAAUUUUCCCAUGAUGUCAAGAAAAAAGAGGCACUGAGUUUGAAGGCAGCAUGGGAAUGAUCCGUCAGCUGCUCCACUUCAGACAGGGACCAGACUGAUUUUCAAGACUGGGCCAUUACCAUAGAGAGCCCAGGAUGCCAAUGACCCCUUCAAAUCUAAUAUUACAUUUCCAUAAACAUUUAUGCCAGUUCAUAUUGUGCUGAGUUUCCCUUAAUUGAGGCAAUGAUCUGAAUAUGUAAGACAGACCGGGCUGGCCACUGUUUUGCACUCUGGUAGACAGAGGUGAACGUAAUGUGAAAAAUGCUGCAAAUUAUAGCUACCAUUAAAAUGCCUCCUUUUUGGAGAGUCUCCUUCCUGGUUGAUGUGAUUGUUACAUAUUACUGUUUACCUUAUGUUAUAUCUACAUUACAAUAAGGUUUGUGAGCAGGACUGGCAUCCUUCAUUCACAACUUCAUGAUUUUUUUCUCUAACAUUUGAUUAUUGUCUAUCAUUAGGUUAUAGGCCUUGUAGAAUUAAGAAUUGUAUGAUACAUUUGAUACAAAUGAUAAAGGAAAUAUCAAUAUAACCAAUCAUGUCAUAGCCCUUAUAAAAUAAUUACACAAUUACAAAUCCGUAUUAUCCCACUGCAUGUGAAAAAGCAGACUUUAUUUUUCCCCAAUUAGACAUACUUAUUGCUAGUGUCUAAGUAAAGGAGACCUAGACCUAUGACUGCCUCCUUCGCUUCUCAUAUGCUAUCUUUUCAAACUGCACUAUAUAAUGAUUGUUUUUGUAAUGAGUUCAUUGGAAUGAAGGUAAUUUGAUGAUGUUCUUCCAUAAUGGAAAAAGCUAUACAGGGUGGUGGAUUCUGUCUGGAAAAAUAAUGCUUACCUUGCAUUUCAUAUACUGUUAGCACAGCCUGGUAGAGAAUGCUGCCUCUAUUUACACUGUCUUUUUUAAGCUCCUAACACCCACACAGAAAUGCUAAUAGCACAGGCACUCUAGCACAGCGUUUGUCUAAAGGUAAAGGGAAAAAAAGGAGACCCAUCACCCCAUCACUCCCAUCAACUCCUACUCCCUUCCCAGCUAUGACCCACAGCUAAAUUGUUUAGAUGUUGAAUAAAGCAGAGGAUUAUAGUAGGAUGGAGCACUCAGGGGAUUCACCGAUUCCACUCUGUGCUCUCUAAUGUAUGAGUGCUCUCUGCUGGCCAUAAAGGAAAACUGCAGCACUGGAAAUAGUGCCACAGAUUCACACUCGGGUACAUUCAUUGAUAGUAGGUGGCUCCUUCAUUGGAAUCAGAGCUGCUUGACAGGACAGAACACAUUGACUGACAGAAAUAAAAUUGAAUAUUUUUAUUCAAUUCAAUUCUAGACCAGUGAAAUUAGUCACAAAUGAUAUACUGAACAAAAAAAUAAAAUAGAACGUGCUAAAAUGUCAAAGGUUUUACUAGAAAUCGGUCAAUUUUAAUAAAAUUAAUUUCAAAUUGUAUUAGUCACAUGCGCCGAAUACAACAGGUUACAACUCCUUACUUACGAGCCCCUAAACAACAAUGCAGUUAAACUAAAUAAAAAAACAAAUAAGAAAUAAAAGUAAUUAAUGAGCAGUAGUAAAAUAACAAUAGCGAGACUAUAUACAGGCGGGAACCAGUACAGAAUCAAUGUGCGGGGGUACCGGUUAGUCGAGGUAAUAUGUACAUGAAGGUAGAGUUAUUAAAGUGACUAUGCAUAGAUGAUAACAACAGAGUAGCAGCAGUGUGUGUGUGUGUG